rnacentral:rRNA from 1 species
AGUUGUAUCCUGGCUCAGGAUGAACGCUAGCGGUAUGCCUAACACAUGCAAGUCGUACGAGGGUUUCAUACCCAAGUGGCGGACGGGUGAGUAACACGUGAGAAUUUGCCCUAAGGAGGGGGAUAACAACUGGAAACGGUUGCUAAAACCCCAUAUGCUUCCGAGUGAAAUAGAUUUAUCUGCCUUAGGAGAAGCUCGCGGCUGAUUAGCUAGUUGGUAAGGUAAUGGCUUACCAAGGCGACGAUCAGUAUCUGGUUUGAGAGGACGAUCAGACACACUGGAACUGAGACACGGUCCAGACUCCUACGGGAGGCAGCAGUGGGGAAUUUUCCGCAAUGGGCGAAAGCCUGACGGAGCAAUACCGCGUGAAGGAAGACGGCCUAUGGGUUGUAAACUUCUUUUUUCAGGGAGGAACUCAAUGACGUGUACCUGAAGAAUAAGCAUCGGCUAACUCCGUGCCAGCAGCCGCGGUAAGACGGAGGAUGCAAGUGUUAUCCGGAAUCACUGGGCGUAAAGCGUCUGUAGGUGGUUUAAUAAGUCGACUGUUAAAUCUUGAGGCUUAACCUCAAAAUCGCAUUCGAAACUAUUAGACUUGAGUAUAGUAGAGGUAAAGGGAAUUUCCAGUGGAGCGGUGAAAUGCGUAGAUAUUGGAAAGAACACCGAUGGCGAAGGCACUUUACUGGGCUAUUACUGACACUCAGAGACGAAAGCUAGGGUAGCAAAUGGGAUUAGAUACCCCAGUAGUCCUAGCCGUAAACAAUGGAUACUAGAUGUUGGACAGAUCGACCUGUGCAGUAUCAAAGCUANCGCGUUAAGUAUCCCGCCUGGGAAGUAUGCUCGCAAGAGUGAANCUCAAAAGGAAUUNGACGGGGGGCC